UUAGAGUUUGAUCCUGGCUCAGGAUGAACGCUGGCGGCGUGCUUAACACAUGCAAGUCGACGAGAAUCUACGGAUAGAGGCUUCGGCCAAUUGAAGUAGAGGAAAGUGGCGGACGGGUGGUAACGCGUGAGGAACCUGCCUAGGAGUGGGGAAUAACAGUCCGAAAGGACUGCUAAUACGCAUAAUGCAGUUGGGUCGCAUGGCUCUGACUGCCAAAGAUUUAUCGCUCUUAGAUGGCCCGCGUCUGAUUAGCUAGUUGGUGAGGUAACGGCUCACCAAGGCGACGAUCAGUAGCCGGAUGAGAGGUUGGCCGGCCACAUUGGGACUGAGACACGGCCCAGACUCCUACGGGAGGCAGCGUGGGGAAUAUUGGGCAAUGGGCGCAAGCCUGACCCAGCAACGCCGCGUGAAGGAAGAAGCUUUCGGGUUGUAAACUUCUUUUAACAGGGACGAAACAAAUGACGGUACCUGUUGAAUAACCACGGCUAACUACGUGCCAGCAGCCGCGGUAAUACGUAGGUGGCAAGCGUUAUCCGGAUUACUGGGUGUAAAGGGCGUGUAGGCGGGGACUGCAAGUCAGAUGUGAAAACCAUGGGCUCACCUAUGGCCUGCAUUUGAAACUGUAGUUCUUGAGUGCUGGAGAGGCAAUCGGAAUUCCGGUGUAGCGGUGAAAUGCGUAGAUAUA
rnacentral:rRNA from 1 species